GAUGAACGCUGGCGGCGUGCUUAACACAUGCAAGUCGAACGGUGAAGGCGGAGCUUGCUCUGCUGGAUCAGUGGCGAACGGGUGAGUAACACGUGAGCAAUCUGCCCCUGACUCUGGGAUAAGCGCUGGAAACGGCGUCUAGUACUGGAUACGAGCUGCGAAGGCAUCUUCAGCAGCUGGAAAGAACUUCGGUCAGGGAUGAGCUCGCGGCCUAUCAGCUUGUUGGUGAGGUAACGGCUCACCAAGGCGUCGACGGGUAGCCGGCCUGAGAGGGUGACCGGCCACACUGGGACUGAGACACGGCCCAGACUCCUACGGGAGGCAGCAGUGGGGAAUAUUGCACAAUGGGCGAAAGCCUGAUGCAGCAACGCCGCGUGAGGGACGACGGCCUUCGGGUUGUAAACCUCUUUUAGCAGGGAAGAAGCGAAAGUGACGGUACCUGCAGAAAAAGCGCCGGCUAACUACGUG
rnacentral:rRNA from 1 species